CGCAAGCCUGACCGAGCGACGCCGCGUGUGCGAUGAAGGCCUUCGGGUGUAAAGCACUGUCGAGGGGGAGGAAAGCCCGCAAGGGUCUGACCUAGCCCUGGAGGAAGCACGGGCUAAGUUCGUGCCAGCAGCCGCGGUAAGACGAACCGUGCGAACGUUGUUCGGAUUCACUGGGCUUAAAGGGCGCGUAGGCGGCUGGUCAAGUCAGGGGUGAAAUCGUUCGGCUCAACCGGACAACUGCCUUUGAUACUGGCCGGCUGGAGGGAGGUAGGGGCAGAUGGAACUUCCGGUGGAGCGGUGAAAUGCGUAGAUAUCGGAAGGAACGCCGGUGGCGAAAGCGAUCUGCUGGAUCUCUACUGACGCUGAGGCGCGAAAGCCAGGGGAGCAAACGGGAUUAGAUACCCCGGUAGUCCUGGCCCUAAACGAUGGGUACUAGGUAGUGGACUUGACAUGGGUUCACUGCCGAAGCAAAAGUGUUAAGUACCCCGCCUGGGGAGUAUGGUCGCAAGGCUG
rnacentral:rRNA from 1 species